AAGUAAUUCCUCACCCUAGUCAAUCGACCGAGCGACAGACCGGUCCAACCAAUUCACAAUCGCUAUAAGAUUAUGUUUCAUCGAUGUAAUUUUACAUCAAUGAAAACAGUUGGGCGGUAGCUACACGCUAGCCCACUCCCCUGUGCCUUUUCCAAUCAAAGGCGAGCACAGUUACAAAAUAAAAUUAUGUGCGAGCAGUUCUCAUUCGAUGGCAACGUUCCUCUCUCUCCCCCGGCCCCUCCUCCUAUCUCACGAUUGCGGAGUCGGCAGCAGCGACGACACCGGAGGAACGACCGGGAGGUAACGGCUACCUCUCUCGCCCGUGGAGUGCUUCCCUUUCCCGCUCUCAUGCGGCAGCGACCCGGAGGCGAUGUGGUCGGUGCAACGAUCUGGCGCGAGCUCGGCGAUGUCAACGGCCUUCUCCAGCGUCCUCUCCACCUUCGGCGGUCUUCUCACCGCCGUGCAGGGGAGGAGGAUGAAGAUCAAGAAAGGAAAGGAAAGGAAAUCAGGAGCUUGCCUACUACCUACCAGGAAGCGGGUGAUGAAGGUGAUGGUGGAGACACGCUCCCAUCGGUGGAUUAAAUUCAAGGAGGUGGAGAUCAUGGAGGAUGAGAAGAAGGCUAUGUGUAUUCAGUCUUUGAUUGAGCUGAGAUUAAUUUUUGUUUGUUGUAGGACAUGUGAAUCCCCUCUGUGAUUUAGCUUUUGUGUAAAAUUCACGAAUUUGCAUCCUUUUAGCUAUAAAUGUUGCUUCUGAUUUAACUGAAUGUUAGUAAUAAUGUACAUAAAGAAUUAGCCUAUAUCUAGCUGACAAUGCCAAUUAUCUGGAAAUUCGUUAAUCAAUUUUUGCACAAACUUAUGAGGUAAUUUCUUGAACUAAAGAUGGUUCACUUUACGAGAAAUUUUGUUUUAUAGUAUUCUUGAGAUAAAUUUUGAAGUGAUGAUGCUAACUUUAUGUUGAAUGUAUUAGGUAAAUGAAGAAUCAGAAUCAGGGGCGGACCCACGUUCAUGGGAGUGGGGGCCUAGGACCCCACUCAAAAUAUGAAACUUCAGUGAUAUUUCUUUGAAAUUUCAGAAUUUUUUGCCAAAACUAUGUGAAUUUGUACAAAGUAUGCCCCCACUCCCAUAGUUUGCCCCCACUUAGAAUAGUUUCUGGGUCCGCCCCUGAUCAGAAUUCUGCCAUCAAAUUUAGGAGUCGAACAAGAUGUUUGCAAGGGACUUGGAGAUGAGGGAACGCUACAGAAAAGAAAAUGGCAAUGUUUGUACCCAUGGUAAGACACAUAGGCAUAUAUACUCACCAUAAGCUGGAUGAAAGAAUACAUUUUACCAUUUAAACAUGCCAGUCGUCCUCACCAAUGGUGUUCCGUGACUCCGAGUUCGCCUUGAUGUACUCAGGUACCGCUCAGCCCAUGAAGAAUCUACUUAUUGCCAAUAUGAUUAAGGCUUGUGAUUAAUCCGUUUUCCUGAAUUUGUUCAGAGGGCAAAUUAUCAAAGUUGCUAGAUGCCCAAUUCGGUCUGUUUUCAUUGCACGUAAAAAUUGUUUCUUCCAUUAGCAAAUAUUUCAAUUUUAUGUCUCUGUGUUCUUCUUCAAUCUGCAAGGAACUCAAAGAUAGUUAUACAUUUACUAACGUGCAUUCUAGUCCAUAAAUUGUUUGGGCAAUGCACACAAAAAGAUGUACAUGUUUGGGGUACAAACUUUAGUUUCUUUUGAGGCUUAUGAAUUAAUGCUGAAUUUUGUAAUUAACAAAUAGCUUGCUUUCUCUACGCAAAAGAAAAGGAAGUUGCUAGCUGUACUAGCAACAUGUAUUGAGAUCUUCCCGCAAUGCUAGGAUUUUGAGUUUUCCCGUUUAAAUUUAGGGUGCAAUUCUUGCUUCUGGUCAUCAUUAGAAUUACUUAGUGUUAAUUUCUUUUUCACCAGCAAAUCCCUAUGGUAAUUUUCCGUUAAUCAUAAACUAGAUGGUACAAACAAACAAGGAGCAAAGACUCAAUAAGGUUACACCAGGAGCCACGAAAACUUAAUUAAAAACUAGAGCACUAAAGCUGGUCCAGUGAGGAGCUUGGUGCCUAUAGAAACCAAAAGAGAAGGGCAAGACAAAGACCAAUUACUUAGUGUUAAUAGUCUUAUCUUGUGUGUACACCAUGCUAUUCUCUGUUCAGCUUAAUGCAUGGACAAUAUAAUUAUUUAGUAGGCUAUAUGAGUAAUUUAAUUUUCUUGUUUUGUGCACUUUGGAGCAACUCGUGGUUACUAGCAGUUUCGAGUUAAGAAUUAUUUCAAUUGCAAUGAGGUACACAGUGACCCUCUUUCUGGCUGUAUAUCUUCGCUGUUUUGGUUGAACUGGCAUAAACCUAAUUCGUAAUGUUGAUGUGUUUCCUUUUGCUUUUCCUUUCUCUAGGAAGCCAUGACAUUUACUUGGUGCCAGUCAUUAAUUAAUCAAUUUCAAUGUCCCCAUAAUAGAGGAUUGGUAUUGAUUUGCAUUGGCUUAACUACCGAGGACAAGUGUUUCCCUUUCACCCUAAUAGUGGUUGAUUUGCUCCUUUGAAGGAGGCCUACAUUAUGCUAAAUGUCUAUAUGAGCAAGAGAAGUAGUCGCAAUCAGUUAGCAUUUUUAUUCUUAUGUCAUAUCUUCAGAAAUUCUUAACAUGGAAUACAUCAUAUAUUUAUCUGUAUGUAGCUAAUGCUUCUUUGCUUAAAUCUUAUGUUUGUUAAAUGUUGGCACGCAGAAUCAUUAACUACAUACAGAUAAAUGUACGAUGUAUUCCAUGUUAGGAUUUUCUUAAGCUCGAUUGCCACUACUUCUUAAGCUCAUAUGUGAUAAUGUGAUCAUGCAAUUGUCUUGGGUUUAACUGAAUCUUGUUAUCAAUUGUCAUGUCCGACACAUUUGUCUUGUACAGGAGUGCAGUUCUGUAUGUGAUCAGAUUUUCUUAGGCUUUAUUGUUGAUGGUCAUGUCUGUUUGUAGUUGUCAUGGCACCAAAUAUUUUUAGAAUAUUCUACAUUGAUGAUUUUUAUCAUUAAUCCAGCGCUACAUAAAUUGUUUAUUGUUUUUAGGAAUGCUGCCGCUGGUUUCAGCGCUCAUCACUGUUGAGUCUCUUUUCAUGACCCAGAGUCUAUCCCAAAGCCCGAUGGCUCCAAAGCAGCACCGGAAGUCGGAAGAGACCUUGCAUAGUCAAAAAGACAAGCAGUGAUCGACCAGACACACUAGAGCUUGUACUUCAUGGGGGUCAUGGGCACACUGGCGGCUAGACACCUUAAUUACCGUUGUAUCAAGUAGCAGUUUGCAGCUAUGGCCAGGGCCAUCUUCUCUGCAAGUUAUUUCAAGUACUUACUGUAAUUGAAAUGACGAUUAUAUGUGGUUUCGUGGCUGCCACUUGUGAAUGCAUUUGUCCGGAUGUACUCUGUUCUUGAGUCCA